GUUCUCUGCACUCCUGUAAACGCGUCACUUCCGGUCGGAGUGUUUGGCUCUCGGUGAGUAGGACUAUGCGCUGCUUCACGUCUCUCAUGCCCAUUUACCUGUGUGCUGAUCGGAGUGUUUUGUUGUUGUACUGCAGAGCGGCUGGGCUUACACGCCACGCUCAAGGUGCGCUGUCUCUCCAAGCUGCGGUGGUAAGUGUCCUCCCCCUCUGCAUCAUACUGUUUGGUGCCUCACGGCUAACACCGUGUGGUUGCAGGUUAAUGCCGGUAGCGGCGUGAGUCUCUCUCUCUCACUCUCCCCCUAUGGUUGUGCGGGCAUCAUACUCGGCAACAAGUGCCAAGGCUGGUGGUGGUGCUGGUGACCUGGGUGGAGGUGUCCGUUUUCCCUGCGUGCUGUGUCCCCUGGGAUUUGGGUAUUCACUGUGUGUGUGUGUGUGUGUGUGUGCGUGUGUGCCUGUCACAUAACCUGGUGAUUGAGUAUUUUGAUUUAGACUCCUCCUCUCACUAGCUUCAUUUCACCACAAGCCUAAGUCUGCACAGAUUUAUUUUCUUUUGAUUUUCAGUGAACACAUUGUGCUUUUAAACCAUUUAUUAAAGUGUGUAUUAUUUUAACAUUUGGAA